UUUCCUACGGGAGGCAGCAGUGAGGAAUAUUGGUCAAUGGGCUUACGCCUGAACCAGCCAAGUCGCGUGAGGGAAGACUGCCCUAUGGGUUGUAAACCUCUUUUGUCGGGGAGCAAAAGCCGGACGUGUCCGGCUGUGAGAGUACCCGAAGAAAAAGCAUCGGCUAACUCCGUGCCAGCAGCCGCGGUAAUACGGAGGAUGCGAGCGUUAUCCGGAUUUAUUGGGUUUAAAGGGUGCGCAGGCGGAUUUUUAAGUCAGCGGUCAAAUCGUGGGGCUCAACCCCAUCCAGCCGUUGAAACUGGGGG
rnacentral:rRNA from 1 species